UGGGGAAUUUUGGACAAUGGGCGAAAGCCUGAUCCAGCAAUGCCGCGUGUGUGAAGAAGGCCUUCGGGUUGUAAAGCACUUUUGUCCGGAAAGAAAUCCUCUGGGUUAAUACCUCGGGGGGAUGACGGUACCGGAAGAAUAAGCACCGGCUAACUACGUGCCAGCAGCCGCGGUAAUACGUAGGGUGCAAGCGUUAAUCGGAAUUACUGGGCGUAAAGCGUGCGCAGGCGGUUUUGUAAGACGGAUGUGAAAUCCCCGGGCUUAACCUGGGAACUGCAUUCGUGACUGCAAGGCUAGAGUAUGGCAGAGGGGGGUUAGAAUUCCACGUGUAGCAGUGAAAUGCGUAGAGAUGUGGAGGAAUACCGAUGGCGAAGGCAGCCCCCUGGGCCAAUACUGACGCUCAUGCACGAAAGCGUGGGGAGCAAACAGGAUUAGAUACCCUGGUAGUCCACGCCCUAAACGAUGUCAACUAGUUGUUGGGGAUUCAUUUCCUUAGUAACGUAGCUAACGCGUGAAGUUGACCGCCUGGGGGAGUACGGUCGCAAGAUUAAAACUC
rnacentral:rRNA from 1 species